rnacentral:rRNA from 1 species
UCAAGCUACUAAGGGCAUACGGUGGAUGCCUAGGCGCCAGGAGCCGAAGAAGGACGCGGUAAGCUGCGAAAAGCCACGGGGAACUGCAAGCGAGUAUUGAUCCGUGGAUAUCCGAAUGGGGAAACCCGGCCAUCGUAAUGGAUGGUCAUCCGCAAGGAAGGGAACCCGGGGAACUGAAACAUCUAAGUACCCGGAGGAAAAGAAAUCAAACGAGAUGCCCACAGUAGCGGCGAGCGAAGAGGGCAGAGCCCAAACCUGUAAGCUACGGCUUAUGGGGGUUGAGGACUGACGUAAUUAAGGCCAGGCUUAGCUGAACUACCUGGGAAGGUAGGCGAUAGAAGGUAAGAGCCCUGUAAGCGAAAGGCAGAGCCUUAAGGUCAGUAUCCAGAGUACCACGGAGCACGAGGAAUUCUGUGGGAAGCAGGGGGGACCACCCUCCAAGGCUAAAGACUAACUGGCGACCGAUAGCGCAUAGUACCGUGAGGGAAAGGUGAAAAGAACCCCGGGAGGGGAGUGAAAUAGUACCUGAAACCGUAUGUCUACAAGCAGUCGGAGCGAAAGCGACGGCGUGCCUAUUGAAGAAUGAACCAACGAGUUAUCUGCACUAGCGAGGUUAAGUGGAAGACACGGAGCCGUAGCGAAAGCGAGUCUGAAAAGGGCGGAUAGUUAGUGUAGGUAGACCCGAAACCGCAGUGAUCUACCCAUGUCCAGGUUGAAGCGCAGGUAAAAAUGCGUGGAGGACCGAACCGGUGAGCGUUGAAAAGCUUUCGGAUGAGAUGUGGGUAGGGGUGAAAUUCCAAUCGAACGCGGAGAUAGCUGGUUCUCCCCGAAAUAGCUUUAGGGCUAGCCUCAGGUAGUAAGUAUAGGCGGUAGAGCACUGAUCGGGCUAGGGGCCAUAAAGGUUACCGAACCCUGUCAAACUCCGAAUGGAUAUACUGCAGAGCCUGGGAGUCAGACUACGAGUGAUAAGAUCCGUGGUCAAAAGGGAAACAGCCCAGACCACCGGCUAAGGUCCCAAAUGCCGUACUAAGUGGAAAAGGAUGUGGGGAUUCAUAAACAACCAGGAUGUUGGCUCAGAAGCAGCCACCAUUUAAAGAGUGCGUAAUAGCUCACUGGUCGAGAGUCCCUGCGCCGAAAAUUUCCGGGGCUAAAGUACGGAACCGAAGCCGUGGCUGUGCAUGUAAGUGCACGGGGUAGGGGAGCGUUGCCACAGGGGUGAAGCUGGUCUGGAAGGACUGGUGGACUUGUGGGAAGUGAGAAUGUUGGUAUGAGUAGCGAAAAGAAAGGUGAGAAUCCUUUCCACCGAAAGCAUAAGGAUUCCUGAGCAACGAUCGUCGUCUCAGGGUAAGUCGGGACCUAAUCCGAGGCAAAGAGCGUAGGAGAUGGACAACAGGUUGAUAUUCCUGUACCGGCAGCAAUUGUUUGAGCGAAGGAGUGACACAGAAGGGCAGGCAGGCGCGAGACUGGAUUGUCGCGUGCAAGCGUGUAGGGUAGUGUACAGGCAAAUCCGUACACUGAAAGCCUGAGGCGUUACGCGGAGCGAGCAGAGAUGCGAGCGAAGCUGCUGAUCCCACACUGUCGAGAAAAGCUUCUAGUGAGAGAGCUGCCGCCCGUACCGUAAACCGACACAGGUAUGCGGGGAGAGAAUCCUAAGGUGCGCGGGAGAACCCUCGUUAAGGAACUCGGCAAAAUGUACCCGUAACUUCGGGAUAAGGGUAGCCGUCUUGGUGAAGGAACUAGCUUCUGGAGCUGAAGGCGGUCGCAGAGAAGAGGCCCAAGCGACUGUUUACCACAAACACAGGUGCCUGCUAAAGCGAAAGCUGACGUAUAGGUGCUGACACCUGCCCAGUGCUGGAAGGUUAAGGAAGGAUGUCCGGGCAACCAAAGCAUUCGACCGAAGCCCCAGUGAACGGCGGCCGUAACUAUAACGGUCCUAAGGUAGCGAAAUUCCUUGUCGGGUAAGUUCCGACCCGCACGAAAGGUGUAACGAUUUGGGCACUGUCUCAACGAGGGACCCGGUGAAAUUGAAAUACCUGUGAAGAUGCAGGUUACCCGCGACUGGACAGAAAGACCCCAUGGAGCUUUACUGUAACCUGACAUUGGGUUUUGUUGUAUUACGUACAGGAUAGGUGGGAGGCUUGGAAGGCUGGACGCUAGUCUGGCUGGAGCCGGCGUUGGGAUACCACCCUUGAUACAACGGAAUUCUAACCGAGAGAGUAACGAAAUCCGGGACAGUGUCAGGCGGGCAGUUUGACUGGGGCGGUCGCCUCCGAAAG